GACUCGAUAGCUCAAUGGGUAGAGCGGCGGUCUAGAUACCCGAAAAUGCGAGUUCAAACUCUCGCUCGAGCCA